rnacentral:rRNA from 1 species
AUAUCAAUAAGCGGAGGAAAAGAAACCAACAGGGAUUGCCUUAGUAACGGCGAGUGAAGCGGCAACAGCUCAAAUUUGAAAUCUGCCUCUAGGCCGAGUUGUAAUUUGUAGAAGAUGCUUCGGGUGUGGCACCGGUCUAAGUUCCUUGGAACAGGACGUCAUAGAGGGUGAGAGCCCCGUACGACCAACGACUUAGCCAUGUGAACGUCCUUCGAAGAGUCGAGUUGUUUGGGAAUGCAGCUCAAAGCGGGUGGUAAAUUCCAUCUAAAGCUAAAUAUUGGCCAGAGACCGAUAGCGCACAAGUA